GACGAACGCUGGCGGCGUGCUUAACACAUGCAAGUCGAGCGGUAAGGCCCUUUCGGGGUACGACGAGCGGCGAACGGUGAGUAACACGUGGGUGACCUGCCUCAGCUCUGGGAUAAGCCUGGGAAACGUAGGGUCGUAAUAACUGGAUAUGACUCCACGGUGCGUGUCGUGGGGUGGGAAAGCCUUGUGCGGCUGAGGAUGGGCCCGCGGCCUAUCAGCUUGUUGGUGGGGUGAUGGCCUACCAAGGACGACGACGGUAGCCGGCCUGAGAGGGCGACCGGCCACACUGGGACU
rnacentral:rRNA from 1 species